rnacentral:rRNA from 1 species
UGGGGAAUAUUGGACAAUGGGGGCAACCCUGAUCCAGCGAUGCCGCGUGUGCGAAGAAGGCCUGCGGGUUGUAAAGCACUUUGGUUGGGGAAGAAGGUUGGGCGUUGAAUAGAUGCCUGAAUCGACGUUACCCAAAGAACAAGCACCGGCUAACUCUGUGCCAGCAGCCGCGGUAAUACAGAGGGUGCGAGCGUUAAUCGGAAUUACUGGGCGUAAAGGGUGCGUAGGCGGUUAAAUAAGUUAGAUGUGAAAUCCCCGGGCUUAACCUGGGAAUUGCAUUUAAUACUGUAUGACUAGAGUAGAGUAGAGGGAAGUGGAAUUUCCGGUGUAGCGGUGAAAUGCGUAGAUAUCGGAAAGAACAUCAGUGGCGAAGGCGGCUUCCUGGACUCAUACUGACGCUGAGGCACGAAAGCAUGGGGAGCAAACAGGAUUAGAUACCCCUGUAGUCCCUGAGCGGGCUGGCAAGGCGCAU